GCACGUGCUAAUUCAUUUUGGUCCUUUAGAACAUUUUGAAGAGUGAGUUCAUCAUAGGAGAGAAAUAAAACGCUCCCACGGCCGUACCACUCGCACCUAGUGUCCCUCUUCGUUCUCUCCUCACAGGUCCCAGCUAGGGUUCCUGCCGCCGCCGCCACUACCCAUGCCCGUGCCUUCUUCAUCUUCCAUCCCAAGCUCCACCUCCUCCAUCCCCAUCUUCUCCAAUCUUCUCACUUUGGAUCUCGGGAGCGCACUGAAGGGAGGCAAGGUGACUGUUGCCAGCUCCGUCUCGCAUGACCAGGCCUCCCGCCUACCCGCGAUGCCGUCGGCCUGGAGGCCUGGUGGGCUCGAGCAGCCGCCGCGGUGUCGGAUGUACCGGCGAGGUCUCUGGGGACCGUGCGGUGGACGUGACCUCUACUAGCUCCCCGCGCUCACCCUCCCAUGGCGAGUGGCGGCGUGGCCCAAUGAUGGCGCCGAGACGGGGACAUGGACUCGGGGAGGUGGCCGUGCGCGAGAAAGGAGCUUCAAGUAUUGUUGCAGUCGAGCAUCGGGAAGGUCUGCACGGAGGCGCCCACUCGUCCUGACACCGCACAACGCCGCCACGAGCGGCUGCGCCGUCCUGGAUGGCAGCUUCCGUUUUGGGAUGGAUCACAUGAGGCACCGGAGAGGGUGAGGGUCCAGAAUUAGCCUGCGGUUCAACCCCAUCAUUCCCUGACUCCUCUGUUAAGAUUAUUCUUUCAUUUCAUCUCUGGAUGUCUAGCUUGUUUACGAUAUAUGGACGAAAUUAUAUUCGACACGUGCAUCUGAUUUUCUCCAACAUGAGUAUAAAACAAUAUUAACAGCUCUGGC
rnacentral:lncRNA from 1 species